UUAACGAGAGUUUGAUCCUGGCUCAGAAUCAACGCUGGCGGCGUGCCUCAGACAUGCAAGUCGAACGCGAAACCUUCCUUCGGGAGGGGAGUAGAGUGGCGCACGGGUGAGUAACACGUAGGUAAUUUGCCUUCGGG
rnacentral:rRNA from 1 species